GGGAUGAUAAUUUUACUUCGUCCCGAAUUCAUAGUUUUAUAUUUUAAUACCCGAAUGGGUAUAUGAAAAGGAAAACAACCCGUCUCUAAAAGAUAAAAUGCAGUAUAUACUAAGAAGGCUCUCAAAUAAAUUCUUUCUCAAAUCCCUAAACCCCGCCACUCUCUCCUCUCUAAAAAAAAAGUGGAAGAAAAACCUUCUUGUCUAGCACUGCCAUUCUACAUCAUUCAUGAGAAAAUGAUCAAGACACUGAAGUACAUACCAAGGCAUUGAAUUUUUCAGUUAACAAGUCAAGUGGCAAAAGAAAGGAAAGAUACUAGUUGACAAGUUUCUUAGUUAUUUUUGUUGUAUUAGGUGAAUAAUUUGUAUCUUUUUGUACAGAUGUUAGAUUCAAGGAAGGGUUGUGUAAACAAUACAAUGACUUACGUUAUUGUUAUAUAAUUCUACUAAUGUUAUUUUAAUCCAA